UUUUGUCUCUCUCUGCUUUUGGAAUCCCGGGGAAUUCACAGAAGCUCUCCUUCACAGGAGCUCUUAUCUGUGAAAUGAGGACACCAUGUCUACUAGCUUCACAGGGCUUGCUUACCACAGCGCCAAGCUGAGGACCAUGCCCUCAACACACAGGCUUUGGCAGAACACCCAGGAUCCAAACUGCAGCACCCCCUCCCACCUAGCCCCGGAUAGCCAUUGGCCUUACUACCUCUACAGUCUUGACUUUCCCAGAAUACUGUAUAGCUGAAGUUAAGAUGGACUUCUUUCACUUACCAAUAUGCAUGUAAAGUUUUUACUUCUUUUCAUGGUUUGAGAGUUCUUUACUUCUUAGUACUAAAUAUUCCAUUGUUUGGCCAUACCACCUUUUUACUUAAUUGUCUGAAGGGCAUCUGGGUUACUUUUGAUUGUUAAUAAAGCUGCAUAUCAGGACCCAC